rnacentral:rRNA from 1 species
UACAGAGGUGGCGAGCGUUGUUCGGAUUUACUGGGCGUAAAGGGCGCGCGGACGGCGUCGUGUGUCGGUUGUGAAAUCUCCGGGCUCAACCCGGAAAGUGCGGCCGAAACUGCGAUGCUAGAGCAAGGGAGAGGAAAGCGGAACUCAUGGUGUAGCGGUGAAAUGCGUUGAUAUCAUGAAGAACACCGGUGGCGAAGGCGGCUUUCUGGAACUUGGCUGACGCUUAGGCGCGAAAGUAGGGGGAGCAAAC